rnacentral:tRNA from 1 species
GGUUCUAUGGUCUAGUUGGUUAUGACGGAUGCCUCACACGCAUCAGGUUCCCGGUUCGAUCCCGGGUGGAAUCA